rnacentral:rRNA from 1 species
GACGAACGCUGGCGGCGUGCUUAACACAUGCGAGUCGAACGGAAAGGCCCUGCUUUUGUGGGGUGCUCGAGUGGCGAACGGGUGAGUAACACGUGAGUAACCUGCCCUUGACUUUGGGAUAACUUCAGGAAACUGGGGCUAAUACCGGAUAGGAGCUCCUGCUGCAUGGGGGGGGUUGGAAAGUUUCGGCGGUUGGGGAUGGACUCGCGGCUUAUCAGCUUGUUGGUGGGGUAGUGGCUUACCAAGGCUUUGACGGGUAGCCGGCCUGAGAGGGUGACCGGCCACAUUGGGACUGAGAGACGGCCCAGACUCCUACGGGAGGCAGCAGUGGGGAAUAUUGCACAAUGGGCGGAAGCCUGAUGCAGCAACGCCGCGUGCGGGAUGACGGCCUUCGGGUUGUAAACCGCUUUCGCCUGUGACGAAGCGUGAGUGACGGUAAUGGGUAAAGAAGCACCGGCUAACUACGUG